AAGGGGCGUGUCCCCGUGUUUAACCCUUGAGAAGCCGGGGCCGCGGUUGCUGUGGGGAGGGGUUCCGUAGGCGGGGGGGGGGUCCCUUAAGCAGAAAGCAGGAGGCUUUUUUGCUGGUGCCAGCGCUGGUGCGAGGGGACGGGAACUCAUGGCUGGGAACAGGAGGAAGGUGGGAUGAUGUAAAUCGCUUUGCAUGGUGAAGCGUUGCACUGUAGCUGGUACCAGCCUCUCGUUUCUGCGGUGCUGACUCGAGCUGUGCGGAAAGAAAACACAUCCAGCUUCAAAAGAAACCACGACAGCCACACAGAGCAAGUCCUUCAAGUAAGGCCUUUGUAUCUCAAGAGAAAUAUCCAAGAAUAGCGGAUGUUUGAAAUGUUCUUGCUUAAAUUGUUCCACCUUGCUGUCCUUCAUCUGUAAGAUGAAGAUACUAAUAUUAAACUUGCCUCAGGAAUCUUGUGAAGAAGCAGCUCUAUUUGUGAAGCACCCAUUCCAGAAAGAGCAAGAGAAAAAUAACUAAAAUGUAUUUUUACUCAGCACUGGUUCUUAAUGGAAUGUAUUAAAUAAAGAUCAAGGCUAUACAAUUAAUAACAAGGAUUACAAAAACUUUAAUGUAACAAUUCAGUAAGCACCAUUCGUCUUGCAAGCGUUAUUCAUCUUCUGCACCGAAGAAGGCUGGGGGUCUUGGGGAAAAAAUUAAUUAGAUCUGCCAGCACUGGAACUAAACUUUUCUAUAGAUUUGCACCUGAAAUUGACUUAUUGUAAGCUCUGAUUCGAAGGUGACUUAUAGCUGUGGAAUUGAUGCACUGUGUGGUUUCUGUGACUGAGGGAUGAGAUCCAGGAUAGUCUGGGGAUGCACAAGUAUAUUGAAUUUAUCCAUUGUAACCUGGACAACUCAGUUUGCUGAUGUAGACUGACCUGGAAUAAUGCUGAUUAAGUUUUUUCUUGUUUGCUACUCCAGCACUAAUGAAGACUUCACAAUGCUAAACAUCGAUCUUGUGAGUUUUCCCAGGAACCUAAUGUUAUUCUGGCAUUCUUAUAACAGCAACAAGGUUCCUUUACUUUGCUGUAACUCUCUAUUAAGUCUUGAGAGUUUCUUCUUUUUAAUCUGAUUUUAAAUCCUCUCAAUCUAGCGAGUGCUACUUAAGCAGGACUGAGCUGGCUCCUUGUAAGACAAAAUGGUCCAGGACUUCAGCGUGGCAGAAACAUGGGACACAACAAUCGUACACUUGCUAUUUCCAGCAGGUUGAAACUGCCAUGUUUGCAGUUGUCACUUCGGUUAAUUAAUACACAUGCAAAGUGCCAAGAUAUUAAUCUCGGCAGUGGCAUCCAAUCAAGGUGAUCCCAGUGCAGAAUAGGAAAAGUAAAUUCAACUGCAGCAAUGCAGCAUAGUAUCUCUUUGGAAGGACUGACAGUGCCAAGUGCUAAUGAAUUUGUUUUAUCAGGAAGUAAAAGCCCUUUUCCUGACAUGGCUGACAUAGGACAAAAAGAUAAUUUUGCCUUAAACUAUUUAGAGUUCAAGGUUAAAGAUAACAGACAGGUAAAGAUUAUUGGACAGAAAUAUUAGAACCAGUUACUAGGCAACUGAUGCUGUUUUAGUGACUCUGCAGUCUGACCAUCAUAAAAUUCUUCAGACAAAUGAAUUUUAAGAAAGGCUCUGAAGAGCUCAGUGAAGUAGAUCAGUAAGUUGUUGCAGGUUUCUCUUACCUAAGCAAGAAGCAGCACGAAAACAAGACAAACCUUGCAUGAAAAUUCAAGUGAAGCAUUAAUGGAAGCAUAAUGCGGUCUCUUUUCACACUCCAUUGAUUUCAGCUCUGACUUGAACUCCGUUAAACUUUAAAGUCAGUGUAAGUUACAAAGUGACUUGCUCUGAAAGACUUAACACUCUUCCAAAACAACUUUCAAGUGCAGGAAAACCCUCAAUUGAAAAGGGCAACUCAGUUUUGGCAAAAUGCUUCAAAACUAGAUCCAGCCCCCUGAAUGCAACAAUGUUAAGCCACUAAUUGGAGGUACAGCACAGUGUUUUCAGUUGGAGCAGCUGGGAGAAGAGUUUGUCUUUGCUUCUGUUGUAGAAAAGUCCAGCAGAACGUCAGGCAGAGGAGGGCAGCAAUGUCUCAGACUAUCAGCAUCACAUCUGGUGAGCAAGAGUCACAGUCACGGGAAAAUUCUGUGUUUCAUCAACACAGACCUUCUGUGUAGACUUCAAACCAAAGCCAUCUGUUUCCCCUGUAAAUGAAUCUCUGGUCCUAUCAAUUAUGUUAUUAAUCACUACUCUCAUAUACUGCUUUGCCUGUCUUAUUUCCACUAUAGUAUGCCUGCAUCCUUUCAGAAAUCUUUCAAUCUGGAAAAUUUUCAGUUUCACAGCAAUUUACAAAAUGUCCUGAAAGAUCUGAGAUUAUGUACUUCAAAGUUGUUUCUUACAUCAUUCAGCCUUUAAAAGCAACACAUAAUUCCAGAGAACCUCACAAAAUUCAGGUGAGAGGCACACCAUGAGGUGCACUACUUAAGAGUAGUACUGGUCCCUGGAUUCCAGUCUCCUCAGUUGCUGGCAUCUCAACAUAUGAUCCCCCCAAGGCCCCUCUACUUUCCACACUUGUUCCUCCCUUUCCCCUCUUUUGAUUCCUCGCCUAAACAUUCCAUAAGUCCUGUGCGAUGCUAAAAUGCCAUUCCCCUGCAUCCCAUGAAGAGCAGCACAUCCCCAAGGCAGUAGCACCUGUCGUCCUGGAGGGCUGCUCCAAGACUCACCUUGAGGAGUUUCACUCCUGGACCCUGGGGCUGAUGGCUCUGCUGGAAGAGCCCUGGGAAAGGCCCAGAGAGGGUGUUUGCUCCUCUGGAGUCUGUAAUUUGGGUUGUCACCCUGCCAGGUUAGGGGUGGACCUGCUGGGAAGCAGCAUUGCAGAGAAGGACCAGGGGUUGACCGUGAGCCAGCAAUGUGCCCAGGUGGCCAAGGCAGUCAAUGAUACCUGGGGUGCAUUAGGAAAAGUGUGACCAGCAGGUCGAGGGAGGCUCUCUUCCCCUCUACUCUGCCCUGGUGAGACCGCAUCUGGAGUUCUGUAUCCAGUUCUGGGCUCCCCAAUUUAAGAAUGACAAGGAAUUGGAGCGAGUCCAGUGGUGGUCUACAAAGAUGCUGAGGGGUCUGGAGCAUCUUUCUUAUGAGGAGAGACUGAGAGAGCUAGAUCUGUUCAGCCUGGAGAAGAGAAGCUGAGAGAGGAUCUCAUCAAUGUUUAUAAAUAUCUCAAGAUGGGUGUCACAAGGAUGGACCAGACUCCUUUCAGUGAUGCCCAAUGACAGGAUGAGGGGCAAUGGGCACAGACGGAAGCAAAAGAGAUUCCAUCUAAACAUGAGGAGGAACUUCUUUCCUUGGAGGUGCCAGAGCCCUGGAACAGGCUGCCCAGAGAGGUUGUGGAGUCUCCUUCUCUGGAGACAUUCAAACCCACCUGGACACAUUCCUGUGUGAUCUGCUCUGGUGAACCUGCUUUAGCAGGUGGGUUGGACUGGAUGAUCUCCAGAGGUCCCUUUCUGCCCCAGCCAUGCUGUGAUUCUGUUCAUUGUGCCCUUGCGCUCUUCUGGGCUCAUGGAGAUGGGUCCCUGAUGGGCUGGUGGCCCCAGUGAUGAGUAGCUGGGCAGGGUAUUGCUUGGUCUUCCUCGCAAUUGUCUCUCUGUGGGCAUGUACACAAGCUUUUACCACAUAACCUAACAAUAUGUACCAAAUGACAUGUUUCUAGCACCUAAAACUGAGAGCUUUGGGAAAAAAAAUUCAUUUACAGCAAAUGCAGUAGGGGUACCAGCCUAUUGGUAUGAGACUGGCUUCUUGGCUUGUGUAAAAACAUGAGUGUGGAGAAACAAAUGCAUCUGAAAUGAACUUGCAACUCUGGUUUACCAAGAUAUUAUUUACUAAUUACAACAUAAGUGUUGCAAAUUGCAACAAAUAGCCUUGCUUAGCCCCACUACUGUGUUAUUGUCAGCACUUGAAACUCAUGAAAUUCAUUGAAUAUUUCUGCCUUCCUGCCUGCACUGCAGUUAAGUUUUGCAACUAAAGCUCGUGUGUCUGCUCAGCAGUUGGCAAAAUUUGAUUUGCCAUAAUUCAAUCUGCAUGAGUCAGCGCCACCUUCCUUCACCACACAUUCUGGCCUGUCUGGAAAUCUGCUUUCUUUAUGGUUACACAGAUGUUCAAUAGACCUCAGAAUCAUUUCAGUGUGGUAGGCAAAGAAGCCUUUGCCACUCUUUGAACAAAUACAGUCCAGCUUUCCAUCCCCUACAAAACAGUAUCUGUGCUUGGCAGGGAACAAAGUUGGGACAUGGAUAUUGUAUUUUAUUGUAUUUUAUUGUAUUGUAUUUUAUUAAGUAACAGAAAAUCCCGCAAAUUAAUACAGUAGUACGUACUAUUUGUUGUUUUAAAAACUGUUUGGGUUUCUGGUUCAGAAUCCAAAACAGCAUCUCCAGAAGUGUCUUUUUGAUGCAGCGUGUGCUUUGUGCCUUCUAUACCUUUUGAUGAGUUAUUACAUCAGCAAUAACCACUCCUGUUGUGUGAGGUGUGGAAAGUAAAUAUUAAUUUGUCCUUUUGUUUAUCCCAUUGUGUUUUGUGCCUUCACAUUUAAAUAAAGACCUAGGCUAAAGACA